UACGAAGGGAGCGAGCGUUGUUCGGAAUCACUGGGCUUAAAGCGUGCGUAGGCGGAUAUGUAAGUCAGAAGUGAAAUCCCGGGCUUAACCCCGGAACUGCUUUUGAGACUGCAAGUCUAGAAUUCGGUAGAGGUUAGUGGAAUAUCCAGUGUAGAGGUGAAAUUCGCAGAUAUUGGAUGGAACACCAGUGGCGAAGGCGACUAACUGG
rnacentral:rRNA from 1 species